rnacentral:rRNA from 1 species
UACGGAGGGGGCUAGCGUUGUUCGGAAUUACUGGGCGUAAAGCGUACGUAGGCGGCUCUGUAAGUUAGAGGUGAAAGCCCGGGGCUCAACUCCGGAAUUGCCUUUAAGACUGCAUCGCUUGAAUCAUGGAGAGGUGAGUGGAAUUCCGAGUGUAGAGGUGAAAUUCGUAGAUAUUCGGAAGAACACCAGUGGCGAAGGCGACUCACUGGACAUGUAUUGACGCUGAGGUACGAAAGCGUGGGGAGCAAACAGG